UUCUAUGGGGCUCUCGGCCCAGUAGG
rnacentral:piRNA from 1 species